GACGAACCGUGCGAACGUUGUUAGGAAUCACUGGGCUUAAAGGGCGCGUAGGCGGGCUGUCAAGUCUGGGGUGAAAUGUCGCGGCUCAACCGCGGAAUUGCCUCAGAUACUGACGGCCUCGAGGGAGGUAGGGGCGUGUGUAACUGUGAGUGGAGCGGUGAAAUGCGUUGAUAUUCACAGGAACUCCGGUGGCGAAGGCGACACGCUGGACCUUUUCUGACGCUUAGUCGCGAAAGCGAGUGGAGCAAACGGG
rnacentral:rRNA from 1 species